CAGUCGUACCUUCGGGUAAUCAGCCUUUCGGGUGCGAUUCUGUGGAGUGUGAGGAGCUUAUCACCUUCAUGCUUUGCAUAUUUGUGCUCUUGGGUGUACUUGCCCGUGUGGUUGGUUAACAUCAAUUUUGGUUAUCAUAAAAUGACUGGAGGAAUGUGGCUUCGAUCACGUAUUGAAGUGUUAUAGCCUUCGGUAGAUGUGAUGAUCGAGAUUGAGGAUUGCAACGGAUACCCUUCGGGGCUACCUGUCUGGUCUCUGAUCGUUGCUCUGGUGCUGAAAGCUUGCUUACAGUUAUCAAAGUCGAUGGUCAAUAGGUUAGAACGGGUUAAA
rnacentral:rRNA from 1 species